rnacentral:lncRNA from 10 species
UUGUGUCCACAGCUGGGAUAAAUACUUGCGUUGGGUGACCAUGGGGCAGAGCAGCCUGUGCUUUGUGUAUAUGAAGAGUUUUCUAGAAGGUGAACUCAUCCCAAUAAAAAACUGAGUCAAACAGGCAAGUUCAGCCUUAUCUUAUCUAAGAAUAAAGCCUCAGAUAGAGGAGAUGGGCAAUUCUGAGUGUAGCACAAUGGAGCAAAGCGAUUGUUCAAAACGUUUAUCUUUGGCAAUCUCAGG